UACGUAGGGUCCGAGCGUUGUCCGGAAUUAUUGGGCGUAAAGAGCUCGUAGGCGGUUUGUCGCGACUGCUGUGAAAUCCCGAGGCUCAACCUCGGGCCUGCAGUGGGUACGGGCAGACUGGAGUGCGGUAGGGGAGAAUGGAAUUCCUGGUGUAGCGGUGGAAUGCGCAGAUAUCAGGAGGAACACCGAUGGCGAAGGCAGGUCUCUGGGCCGAUACUGACGCUCAGGAGCGAAAGCGUGGGGAGCGAACAGG
rnacentral:rRNA from 1 species